GCCGAAGUGGUGGAACCUGGUAGACACGCCAUCUUGAGGGGGUGGUGGGGAAUACCCGUGCGGGUUCAAAUCCCGCCUUCGGCACCA
rnacentral:tRNA from 2 species